AACGAACGCUGGCGGCAGGCUUAACACAUGCAAGUCGAACGCCCCGCAAGGGGAGUGGCAGACGGGUGAGUAACGCGUGGGAAUCUGCCCAGAUCUUCGGAACAACUGAGGGAAACUUCAGCUAAUACCGGAUGCGCCCUACGGGGGAAAGAUUUAUCGGAUUUGGAUGAGCCCGCGUUGGAUUAGCUAGUUGGUGGGGUAAUGGCCUACCAAGGCGACGAUCCAUAGCUGGUCUGAGAGGAUGAUCAGCCACACUGGGACUGAGACACGGCCCAGACUCCUACGGGAGGCAGCAGUGGGGAAUAUUGGACAAUGGGCGAAAGCCUGAUCCAGCCAUGCCGCGUGAGUGAUGAAGGCCUUAGGGUUGUAAAGCUCUUUCAGUAGGGAAGAUAAUGACGGUACCUACAGAAGAAGCCCCGGCUAACUUCGUGCCAGCCGCCGCCGUAAUAC
rnacentral:rRNA from 1 species